AUGGGCACGUCUUCUGAAAGCUGCAAGCUGCAGGAUGAGCAAUACCAGUACUACAAGAACUUGGAUGACGAAAAGAAGUAUUUCUUGGUGCUUAUGUUGGGUGAUUUCCAAGAUGCGAUGAUAAUUCCAGAAGAAGUUGUCCGGCGUUUCAAAGGCGAGAUCCCAGGAGAGAUCAAGCUGGAAACCCGAAAUGGUUACAGUCACACUAUUGUGGUUGCCAAGAACCAAGAAAAGCGUGUUCUUACAGUCCAAGACAAGCGCAACGAGGCACAUGAAAUCGGGUAUUCUCAAAAGAUGGAUGUGCCUCGGGAAAGAAGAGAAAGCCGGACUGAAUACCACUACACAAACUUGGAUGAUGAGAAGAAAUAUUUCAUGGUGCUUAUGAUGGACGAUUUGCAACAUGAGAUGUUCAAGUUGCUAAAGACUCGAGCAUUUCUCUCCUUCCACAAGCUCCAGCAGAUUAACAUCACCAGCCACCAAUCACCAAGAAUAUCAUUUCGGGAGGGAAUGUCAUCUGAUGGAUAA
rnacentral:rRNA from 1 species